rnacentral:rRNA from 1 species
GUGGAUAGGGAGCAACCUAGUUGUGCGUGUGUAAAGGUAGUGCCAAGAAAAGCGGUGAUCAUGAUGAAAAUCAAUUCCCGGUACCCGAAACCGACACAGGUGGGCAAGUAGAGAAUACUAAGGGGCGCGAGGUAACUCUCUCCAAGGAACUCGGCAAAAUGACCCCGUAACUUAGGGAGAAGGGGUGCCACCGAGAGGUGGUCGCAGUGAAGAGGCCCAGGCGACUGUUUAGCAAAAACAUAGGUCUCUGCAAACUCGAAAGAGGAGGUAUAGGGGCUGACGCCUGCCCAGUGCCGGAAGGUUAAAGAAGUUGGUCAGUCUUAAGAUGAAGCUAGCGACUGAAGCCCCGGUGAACGGCGGCCGUAACUAUAACGGUCCUAAGGUAGCGAAAUUCCUUGUCGGGUAAGUUCCGACCCGCACGAAAGGCGUAACGAUCUGGGCGCUGUCUCGGAGAGAGGCUCGGCGAAAUAGGAUUGUCUGUGAAGAUACGGACUACCUGCAUUUGGACAGAAAGACCCUAUGAAGCUUUACUAUAGCUUGGAAUUGUGUUCGGGCUUCCUGUGCGCAGGAUAGGUGGGAGGCGUAGAAGGUAUCCUUGUGGGGAUACUGGAGCCAACGGUGAGAUACCACUCUCAGGAGGCUAGAAUUCUAACUUAAUUAAGGACAGUUUCAGGUGGGUAGUUUGACUGGGGCGGUCGCCUCCAAAAAGGUAACGGAGGCGUACAAAGGUUCCCUCAGACUGGUUGGAAAUCAGUCGAAGAGUGCAAAGGCAGAAGGGAGCUUGACUGCGAGAAGUACAGUUCGAGCAGGGUGGAAACACGGUCUUAGUGAUCCGACGGUGCUGUGUGGAAGGGCCGUCGCUCAACGGAUAAAAGUUACUCUAGGAUAACAGGCUGAUCUCCCCCAAGAGUUCACAUCGACGGGGAGGUUGGCACCUCGAUGUCGGCUCAUCGCAACCUGGGGCGGAAGUACGUCCCAAGGGUUGGGCUGUUCGCCCAUUAAAGCGGUACGUGAGCUGGGUUCAGAACGUCGUGAGACAGUUCGGUCCAUAUCCGAUGUAGGCGUGAGAAUAUUGAGAGGAGCCUUCCUUAGUACGAGAGGACCGGGAAGGACGCACCGCUGGUGUACCUGUUAUGAUGCCAAUUGUAAACGCAGGGUAGCCAAGUGCGGAGAGGAUAACCGCUGAAAGCAUCUAAGUGGGAAGCCCACCUCAAGAUGAGUAUUCUGGUGUAAGGUCACGGGAAGACGACCCGUAAAUAGGCACGAGGUGGAAGUGCAGAGAUGUAUGAAGCCGAAGUGUACUAAUAGACCGUCGGCUUGACC